rnacentral:tRNA from 1 species
UUUUUGUACUAUAGGGAUUUUGAAAGUCUCUUCUGGCUCAAUUUAGCCACCUAGUG